UUCCGUUUACACACAGGUCUAAGACUACGUAGGUCUGCAGUGCCAGUGUGAACUUCCCCUGUAAAAAUGUAUAUAAAGAGAACAGAGAUCAUAAGAGAGGCAUGAUCCUCACUGACAUAUGAGACAGACUUCAUAUGGAGAAUCAUCAUAGGACGACUGCUCUUAAUCCACGUUUGGAUGCAUCAACAUGGAGCUGCAACUCCUUGUGGGGAUCAAAGUAGGUGAGUACAGGGCCUUGUGAUGAGUUCUUUCAUCUGCUGUUAUGCAGCGUAAUGAGAUGUCUCACACAAAAUUCACUGCUCUGUUUCUGGAGCUGACGUAGUGGGGCGUUUACCUCAGUCUGGGAGCAAACCUGGCGAGGUAGUUGAUUAUCCCCAGAAUGGUCUCCAGCUCAACUUUAACCAGUGCAUUGACCCUGUCUUUUCCUUUACAAUGACUGCCCUUCUCCGUGACACUCAGGUGAGCUUGGAGUGUGAAUGGGAUUCUCCGUGGUGGAUACACAACUGGUGUUGCCUUGGGAUCGAUGUGGUGGUUGCAUUCUCCUGGGAACUCUCUGAUACCUUCGAACACAUCAGAGAACUCCUCAAUAAUGUUAGUUACAUUCAGUGUUGCAUUUGUAUUGACCGACAACACCCGUUUGAUUAAAUCCAUGUCUAGGCAAGCUUUCAGCCCUAAGAUGGGUGGUGCUUGUGUGCUGAAAAUGUCCAACCCUAACAUGACUGCAGUGUCCUUAUGUCUACAUUUGAAGUUACAUGUCCCUUUAACAUAUCCCUUUGCUCUGUGGCCAUGUCCUCAACUACAGCAUGCACAGUUCUCAUCCUGCGCUGUGGCUGCUGUGUUUAGAGUAUGUGCUCCACAUAACUUGGAGAAGUGAUUGAAUCGCUUACAAUUGUAGCGCUGCCUUUUUUGCUGGACAUUCCUCACUGUCACUGUGUUCUCUCCCGCAAGUUCCACAUAUUUUGGUCCUCUUUGCAAUGUCCCCGUAGCUCUGUUGCAUUGCGUCGUGUAUGUGUCCUCCAUGUUCUCUUUGGUUAAGAGCAUGCACUGCCUGACCAGCUGUAGCAGCGCUAGCUCUGUUAUCGCUAGUCAUGGUCCUCCACUGUUCCUGUUAGCUCGUGUGAGCGCCCAGUGUCUAUGGAUUUUUUCCAAAGUCAAAUCUGAUGAGCCAUUACUCAAUAGCUUUUCAGGCGCUAGGUGAGUUCGUAAUUUAACAAUCCAAUUUCUAACCAUCUCAUCACUGUUUGGAUAGUUAGUCUUUCACUAGCAAUUUUAGCAUCUGUAACAAUGCUCGACGGACUCGUUUACACCUUUUAAUUUUUUUCUGUCACCGAGCAAAAAUCGGAUUCGCCUUGGGCAUGAUGUAUUCCUCAUACUUGUCAUGUUUUCAGCACCUUUGUCUCUCACUUCCUUUUCCCCCAUCCACAACAGGGGAUAGCUGCACUUCUCGUUCUUAGCACGUAGCAAUCCAGAGAACAUCUCAGCGUGCUGUCGGAAAUUUCUCCAUCCGUCAGGUAAGUUUGAAUCCCAAUCCAUCCACGGUGUUGGAAUCCCCUAUGACUCCAUUUUAUUAUUUUGAUUGUGAGUUGGAUAGAAACUGACACCAUGUUAUAUUUCCACUUAACAGUCACUCUUUGUGUCCAAUCAAAGGAAAGGGAUCGACAACGAAUUUUGAAUUGACUUGUUUAUUUUGCCAUCUGGAUCCAAAAGUAACGUGCACUUGGCGUACAAAUGGUGACGUUUAUGCCAAUGAUGUCGCAUGUGAUAGGCUAGACGUAAUCACACUGAACAUAUGUCAAGAUAUUACAGUGCGUAUGUCCAAAGUGAGUUGUGUGAAAUCGUUCUUAAUAGUUAGUUGUUAUUGUUGCAUGCUGUUUCUGUAUAGCUUGUAACCUAUAAACAUGUUCAGGGAUUAUAUGCCAUUUAUACAAUCCGUUAUUACAGCUCUCGUGAUAUUGUAUGUAUAGUACCCCGCCCUGUGCAACUGGGUUCUGGACUUCCUGACGGGCCGCCCCCAGGUGGUGAGGGUAGGCAACAACAUCUCCUCCCCGCUGAUCCUCAACACUGGGGCCCCACAAGGGUGCGUUCUGAGCCCUCUCCUGUACUCCCUGUUCACCCACGACUGCGUGGCCAUGCACGCCUCCAACUCAAUCAUCAAGUUUGCGGACGACACAACAGUGGUAGGCUUGAUUACCAACAACGACGAGACG
ensembl:lncRNA